GAUGUCCAGGAGGUACCGAGUUUUCUCGUUGAGAUACUUGUGAACGCAUCCAAUUUAGAGUGUCUUAAAAUAAGUGGAUUCAGUUUUCUUGAGUUGUUCCCCUCUCAACCUGAACAAAGUGAGUGUGACACCACAGUGCACAGACACUCGACGACCUUGUCCCUUGUCUGUCUGCACAAGUUAUGUGUUUCCUCGUUUCCUCGUUUGACAACAUUAGUACAUUCUGCAUUGUCAUUCUCCAAUCUAAAACAAUUAUCUAUAAAAGAUUGCCAAGAAUUGAAGUACUUAUUUACAUCCUCAACUGCAAGAACGUUAGUUCAUCUUGAAGAGAUGUCCAUAAUGCAAUGUGAAUUAGUGGAAGUAAUAUUGGCAAAAGGGCUAGAAGAAACUACUUCAGAGGUGAUAAGAUUUGAGCGACUCAACACUAUAAAUCUAGAUUCCUUAUCAAGCCUGUCAUGUUUUUAUUCAGGCAGUGACACACUGCUAUUAUCAUCUCUGAUAAGAGUGAUCAUAUGGGAAUGCCCCAACAUGAAGAUUUUCUCCCAAGGAGUCAUAGAUGCCAAAUUCUUUUUGGGAAUUCAAGUCUCGUUGGAUCCAAAUGAGGAUUUGUUCUUCUACCAAGAUCUUAACACCACUGUGAAGGGGAUGUUCCAACGACAGGGAUUUUUUAAAGGCUUGGGCAAGAAGUGUUCUUUUAAUUGUUUAAAGCAACAUCAUGGUAGAGUUGGUCAGCAAAACAAAUGGUUGUGCAAGUUGGUAACUUUAAAGCUGGACAAGUGCAUUUUACCAUAUGCAAUUCCAUCUGCUAUACUUCCUCAUUUAAACAACUUGGAAGAAUUGCAAGUGCGGAAGAGCGACAAAGUAAGGGUGAUUUUUGAUAUGAAUGACACUGAGAUAAUAGAAACACCAUCCCGGUUGAAGAAAUUGACUUUACAAGGGCUAUCGCAGCUGAAGCGUGUGUGGGAAAAGAAUAGUCAUGGAGUUCUGAUGUUUGGAAAUCUGCAAGAGAUCUUUGUUAGUGAGUGUGAAAACCUCCAAACUUUAUUUCCUUCUUUGCUGGCAAAGAAUCUUGAGAAGCUUGAGAAACUCGAAAUGAAAUUUUGUUUUAAAUUGCAAAAAAUUGUUGAAGAGGAAGAAGGCACAGCAGAAAAGUUUGUGUUCCCUCGUUUAGAGAAGUUGGAUCUUUGUGACUUGCCACAGCUCACUUACUUUUACCCUCAAACAUUUACUCUGGAAUGCCCCACCUUAAAUAAAUUAAAUGUGUUGUUUUGUGAUGAGUUGGAAUUAUUUCAAAGUGCUUCAAUUAACAGACUUCCUCUUGUCUCAAAUCUGAAGGUCGUUUCCAACCUGAAGGAAUUGAAACUUGAUUGGAAACACAUUUCGGCAUUAAGUUUAAGGUUUAAGUCUGAGCAAUUUGGAGAAGGCCUCGAAUAUUUAAACGAAAUUUCCCUGUUGUUUGACGCUGAUGAGAAUAAGAAACCUGUGUUGCCUCUCCAAAAAGCACCUGAUUUAACACAUUUGGGUUUAGCAUAUUGGAAAAGUCCUGGGAUAUUCCUUGCUGAAAAGCCCAAAAUUGGUGUGGACGGGAUGAGACAAUUAAAAAUAUUGACACUAUACCACAUAUCUGAGCUCCAGUCCAUCGAGUCAGAAGACUCAUCAUGGUUAAACACAAUUUGUGAGGAGCUCCACGUAUUAAAUGUUGUCAGAUGUAUUCAUUUCACAGCAUUAGUACAUUCUCCUUCUACAAUAUCCUUCUAUUGUCUCAUAAAAGUGUCCAUAUCCAACUGUCCCAAAUUGCAGUAUUUAUUUACAUCUUCAGUGGGCAAAAAGUUAAUGAACCUUGAGGAAAUCACAAUCCAGGAAUGUGAAUCAGUGAAAGAAAUAGUGUCUGGAGAGAGUGAUGAAGAUAAAGAUGAAGAUGAACACAAAGAAGGUGAUGAUAAAUUUGAAAAUGAGAUUAUAUUCGAGAAGCUUCAGAUUUUGAGACUUGACUCAUUACCAAAAUUUGAAGGCUUUUACACGGGGAGUUCCACUUUGAAUUUGCCAUCCUUGAAAGAAGUGUUGUUCACCGAAUGCUUCAACACGAAACUUUUCCGUCUUGGUGACAAAGUGCCAACAAAAUUGAACGUCACAAAAGAUGGAGUCAAAUGGAAAAGUGAUCCAUAUAAAUUUUGUGAUCAUGCAACAGUUUUAGGAGGCAACCUGAAAUAGUUUGGUUACAAUUCCCUUUACUUGUAUGAAAUUGUUGUCAGUAGAAGCUUAUUGUCAUAGCAUUCGCUUAUGGUACCCUUGAAAACUAGUAUGAAGCACAGCAACAGAGCAGAAGACAUGGAAUGUUAGUUUAGGGAAUCAGGGGAACUCGAAGAAGCCAAUGAUAGCAUCAUGACAACAACUUUCGACAAGUCAAGGGGUUUUCUUUUCUUUGGAAGUGUGGUGUUCAUAAUAAAGUUUCCUUGUAUACUACAAAGGUGUUUUAUGAAUAAAGUAGUCCCUUAUUUAUACAGGACCAAAGGUGUGUGUUAAAAUUAUAUCAGUGUUUCAUAUAUUUGAUGUAACAAGGAGGAAUUAAUUUUAACAAUUAAACAGUGCAGCAAUUAAACUGAGAAGGACAGCACAACCACUUAAUGGAAAACUGGAAAGAGUGCACUUCCUAUGAGAUCAAACGAGAUCAUAGGGAAUCACUCAAUUGGUAUUUAAUGGAAAGUUCAGUACAUACUUCAGCAAUGAAAGAAAAAAGUACACUGAGAGAGAGAAGAAUAAUUUCCCAAUCAUUGCCUCCAUUCUCUCU